rnacentral:lncRNA from 1 species
UUCCAAACACCUCUCUCACUUCCAUUUUCCAUAUUUCGACGGUGUUCCACCUUAUCUCUCCUCGUCCACGCUGCCACUCCUACACACAUCAGUGCUCCAAACUUCAUUCAACCAAUCUUCAUUUACCACGCGUUUGGGGCCAUUGCCUUAUCAUUUCAUUCUCGCGCCACAGAACCACAUUUCACACAAUUUCCUAAAGAAACCUCAUCUGCUAGGGUUUCUUCCUCUGGAGCGCAUCUUCCUCGUCUCAAACCACAGAUCGACCAUAUCUCCUCCGUUUCCACGGGUAAGGCUACUUUUCUUCACAGAUCCAUCCUCUUCCACCAUUUCUUUGGAUUUCCACCGGUUAAAAGCCUUUUCUCGCCGUUUAAAUCAUCGUCUAGCCUCAUUUCCACCGAUUAAAACCUUCUUCUUCGUUUGUUCUUCACUAUUCACCGAUUAAAACUUUUUCUCCAUCGUUUAAUCGGUUUAGAUUAGGGUUUAUACUAUAUUUAGGGUUUCUAACGAGUUCAUCCUCUGUGUCGAGCUUUUCUCUUUCGAUUUCGAGUUCCUCAACAUUUCGCUACAUAUUUCUUUGUCGGAGAAGCUUCGAGGAGGUCUAGUUCGUCGUCUCACUGCUUCAAUCGGCCUCUCCUUAGAGCCUUCGUCCAUCAGGGAGUGGUUAGAAUUGUCUUGUAUGGAUAGGUUUUUUUGUGUAUGUUUUUUUGUUGUGAUUAAUGUAAAAGUUAUCUGUUGUUUUAUGCUAAACACAAUAAAAAUCUCUCAGUUUUAAUUUCUAAGAGACAAAAGCGUAAAAUAAUAAGAAUAAAAUAACAACGACAUAUUUGUGCUAAAAAAAGUUCAACAAUGAAGAUUCAAUUGAAAAAUAUAAAAAAGUCAAUUACUCAAUAAAUAAAAAAAUAUUUAAUAGGAUUCCAUUGAAAUUAUCCAAAUUUAUGAGAGAUUUCAGUUUUAUUUUAUUUUUUCAAAUUUAGAGUGUAUAGCUUAUUUUAAUUUAUGAAAGAAGUUUAAUAUACUAUAGCUACUUAAUUAUUUUUAUAAGUAUUUAUGCAAAGCUAAAUCCUUUUUCAUGAUUCCAAGAGGAAACUGAUACAAUAUUUUAUAUACAAAAUGGUUCAGUUGUUGUCUAGAUGAUAUAAACUUUGGUUCACUCAUGAUGGGUAAAGGCAACAAUAGAAACUAGCAUUAACAUAUACAUAACAUAUUAAACAAGACAAUGAUGUGAGCACCUGACAUAAGAGUUGAUGUUCAAAGAAAAAGGUCUUAGUUUGAGAGGUAAGUAGGAAAGGAACGAUCACAUGAAUGAGCAGUCCAUAAAGAACUAAGAGUUCGAAGACGAUGGAAGUAUUCCCCCAUAGCCACCAAGCCUUGAGCAGUUUGCCCAGGUGUCAGAAUCCUUGACAUGUAGAGCAGAGUUUGCUGCCUAAGGUGGUCUGCCUGAGGAACAAGCUAAUAAAUUCAACAAGCUUUCAACUUAACAGUAAUAGUUUUGCAUGCUUUAGCAGUAAAAAAACAAUGCAGAACACUAGACCUCUAUUUCUCCACUAAGCAAUAAAUAAAGUCAAACAUUAAUAGAUGAUAAGAAAUGGACUUUAAAUCUAAUUCAAUCUUACAAAAUUGACUUAUAAAAUAAGAUUUGUAUCCACUAAUAUACUAUUAUAAAUUAACUUUAUCUCGAAUUGAUGUGAGACUUCCCAGAUAGUAUGAAAUGAUUUCAAACUUCAUUUUAGAAGUAAAUUUUUGUGAGAAUGAGUUAUGAUACAUAAUUUGAGGGGAUUCAUUGAGGAGAUUUAAUACAAAUAAAAUCCGAACCAAAUCCUUAUAAGUUGUUCAUAUUUCUCUUUUUUAAUAUAUAACUUAGACUUAUAUAGUUGAAUUCCCAACUAAUUAGUUUUAGAGUUCAUAUUUUAUGAUGAUAUCAAAGUAUAUUGUAAUAAAUUUUAUUACAAACACCAUAACUUCAUUUUUCAAAUUAAUUCUUCAUUGAUAUAGUUGUUAUUUUGGCUUAACUAUUGCCUUGAUAGAUAACUUUUAAUUAAAAAUCUUAAUGCGGCACUCUACUACACAUUGCAUGGUACUUCUAUUAAGUACUGGAUGUGAAGUUAAUAGAUGACAGUAAUUUAAGAAAUUAAAACAGAGACAUACUAAAUAAAAAAAUGAGAGAAAAAUUUGAGAAAUGAUGAAGGUAAAAGUAUCAAAAGGGUAAUUAACUCUUUUAAUUAAUUAUGUGUAGUGAGUUUCCUAAUAAAUAUCUACCAUUUAAUCAUUUCGCAAUCAUGAUUUUAAACUAUGGUUGGGGUCAUAAUUGUCAUCAUAAUUCAAUUUAACGACCAAAAUGUGGUUGGGGACUGUUUCUUAAGACCAAGUUUGCCAUAGAAAGGCUUUUAUGUAUGCUACAUAUAAUGUCUCAAGUUUCCCAUCAUAUGACUGAGUAAUAACAAAAUACAAACAUUUUUAAAAAAUUUGAUGCUGCAUACAUUACCUGGUUUACAAAACCUUCUAGUGCUUCACCCUUGUCCAUUGCAGCAGCCAUCUCAAAGCCGUAGUGUCCUAUAGCUAAGGGAUCUGAUGGAAUGUUGUGGACUAGACUCUGCUGGAGUUUGUCCAAUCCAAGUGAAAGGGCAUCUUCAGCUUGCUGAGAUGAAAGCCGGAGCUUGUUAAUACUCACAAUUUGUUGAUCAGUCAAAGGCUCAAGCUGUGGUACAAUAAUCUGAAAGAAAAAGGUCAAGUAAUUUUAACAAGAUGUUUAUGUAUUCACAGUCCAGAACACAGAAUAGAAAAGAUGUUUUGUUUUACGAACUACAUGUAUCAUAUCUGAAGUAUUGAAAAACUGUAGUUGUGCAUAGAAUCUGACAUUCUUGUUUGGCUUCAAAGCAACCUAGCAUGACUGAAAUCUAAACAAGUUUCUGUUAUUUCAAGAUCUUUAGGAAAGAGUUUAACACAUAAAUUUGACAUUCGACACCAAUGACUCAUGAGUAAAUCGAGAUAAGAGAUUUCAAUACCACCUUCAACUACAAUGAUUUGUAAGUCUUUUUUCUUUAUAUUCUUCAACUUUCUCAUUUUUACUCAAUAUGGUUUCAGAUUUCCACUUGAAUUCAUAAUACUAUAAUGCACAAUCUAUGAAUAGAAAAUAAUUUAAAAGUCGUUAGAUUGACAUGUGGAUGUACAUUUAGAAGCUGUGAUGGACGGGAUCCUCCAAUCCAAAGAUAAAGGCGUUCCACUGAUGCUUUCCAUGCGCCACAGAUCAUAUAAAAGACAUCUGCUUUUGCUGCCUCUGCUUUCAUCCUGAAAAGAUUUGAGUAGUGGCUCAAGCAACUCUCAACAAGUAGAUGAAGCUGCAUAUCAGAGUCACGAGUGUGUAAUGCAUUUCUCAGUUCUUCAUUUUGUCUAUCGAGCUCUUCAAUCCAUUGUCCAUAUUCAAGUUCAAACAAG